rnacentral:rRNA from 2 species
UGCAAGUCGAACGAGUUCCCGUUGAUUGACGUGCUUGCACUGAUUUCAACAUUGGAACGAGUGGCGAACUGGUGAGUAACACGUGGAAAACCUGCCCAGAAGCAGGGGAUAACACUUGGAAACAGGUGCUAAUACCGUAUAACAACAAAAACCGCAUGGUUUUUGUUUGAAAGGUGGCUUCGGCUAUCACUUCUGGAUGGUUCCGCGGCGCAUUAGCUUGUUGGUGGGGUAACGGCUCACCAAGGCGAUGAUGCGUAGCCGACCUGAGAGGGUAAUCGGCCACAUUGGGACUGAGACACGGCCCAGACUCCUACGGGAGGCAGCAGUAGGGAAUCUUCCACAAUGGACGCAAGUCUGAUGGAGCAAUGCCGCGUGAGUGAAGAAGGGUUUCGGCUCGUAAAACUCUGUUGUUGAAGAAGAACGGGUGUCAGAGUAACUGUUGACAUCGUGACGGUAUUCAACCAGAAAGCCACGGCUAACUACGUGCCAGCAGCCGCGGUAAUACGUAGGUGGCAAGCGUUGUCCGGAUUUAUUGGGCGUAAAGCGAGCGCAGGCGGUUUCUUAAGUCUGAUGUGAAAGCCUUCGGCUUAACCGAAGAAGUGCAUCGGAAACUGGGGAACUUGAGUGCAGAAGAGGACAGUGGAACUCCAUGUGUAGCGGUGGAAUGCGUAGAUAUAUGGAAGAACACCAGUGGCGAAGGCGGCUGUCUAGUCUGCAACUGACGCUGAGGCUCGAAAGCAUGGGUAGCGAACAGGAUUAGAUACCCUGGUAGUCCAUGCCGUAAACGAUGAGUGCUAGGUGUUGGAGGGUUUCCGCCCUUCAGUGCCGCAGCUAACGCAUUAAGCACUCCGCCUGGGGAGUACGACCGCAAGGUUGAAACUCAAAGGAAUUGACGGGGGCCCGCACAAGCGGUGGAGCAUGUGGUUUAAUUCGAAGCUACGCGAAGAACCUUACCAGGUCUUGACAUCUUCUGCCAAUCUUAGAGAUAAGACGUUCCCUUCGGGGACAGAAUGACAGGUGGUGCAUGGUUGUCGUCAGCUCGUGUCGUGAGAUGUUGGGUUAAGUCCCGCAACGAGCGCAACCCUUAUUAUCAGUUGCCAGCAUUCAGUUGGGCACUCUGGUGAAACUGCCGGUGACAAACCGG